rnacentral:lncRNA from 1 species
AACAACCUUCAAAUCUUUGAUCCAAAACCACAGCCGCAAUAUGUUGAAUAGGGCUCAUUGAACCUUGUAUAUGCAGUUUUCUACUCUGUACUCCAGCCCGAAAAACAAGAAUAUAUAUAUAUAUAUUUUUUUUUAGUGUUAUGUUAUGAGGGUGAAGGCCAAGUUCUGGUGUGGAAUAAAAGGGUAAGCUGGGUUUCGCUGCAACAAAUGAAGCAGGUGAUCACGUGAUGCUGGUCACUGAGUUCAGAGGGGGAGGGAUCUUACUUUCGGUCGUGGCAAUUAGCUUUUAAAACACUAAUGCCUGCAUCAUUUGGCUGAGCCACUGUCAAAAAGACUCAAAGUUGCAUCAUUUACAACUCAGAGCUGAGAUCUCUGAAAAGUUCAAGGCCAAGACCCAAUGGGUAAUGGGACUCACUUUUAUUUUAUAAGUGGGUUUUCCUUUUUACUACUUUCUGAGUCUUACAAUUGAUUCGAAUGCAUGGCAAAAAUAUUAACAUGUUUCAUUCUGAAGCUUUGAUCCUGAACCUGCAUUUACUCCAUCUACAUUUAUUAGUUUUUCCCUCGUCCUAACAUCUUAGCGUCCUUGGUUCUUUACCUUGUUAUUUCUGUCCCUGUUUUUGCCUUUUUG